rnacentral:lncRNA from 1 species
GUUUAGGGCAUAUAUGAUCAAAUUGAGAAAAAAGGCAGAAGCUUUCAGCAUCCAAGCUUCUACUGCUAGUUUGAUAAAUCCUGAAUUUAGGAAGCUUUCAGCAUCCAAGCUUCUACUGCUGGUUUGAUAGAGCCUGAAUUUAGGAAGCUUUCUUGAGCUUGUAAAAAAGAUUUCCUAAAUCGUCCUUGUGUUAUGAUCUUACAUCCUUUUGAGUUAAUGUAAUUUUUGGGAGAGUACCACUAUGGCCUAGAUUUGUUCAUAAUGUUUCUUUACUUACUUGGAGAAGCCAAUGUGUGACUUUGAGUAACUGGCUGACUAUAUUUAAUUUGACAUAUUUGGGUAGAUCGAGAUGGAGGAAAGGUAACAUGGAAGAGGCUAUACUCUGGUCUUGGUAGAAACCUUGUUGGUGUCUUACUGUAAGUUCAUGCUUAUCUUUCAAGUUGUGCUUUACAUGUAUUCUGCAGUGGGUCAAUUCAACUUAUUGUAAAAAGAAAAGAAUAAGUUCUUAUAAUUCCGUACUGAAUAAGCAUCUGACAAUUUGGAUAUUGGUAAUAGUGUAUACUGGAUUCGUUUUGGUGAAGAGCAUUCCCGUAAGGUGAUACUUCUUUUGUUACAUCAGUACCAAAAUCCUUGAGCUUUCUCAUAAUUGUCGUUUAGAGGACAGAGUUCCCUUUCCCGUUUCUGAUGAUGAUUCCCGUUGUAUGGUCAGAAGUUCAAACCUAGCCGCCUCUUUGGUAUUGAAUACAUGUUUUUUCAUCUUGUGGUACUUAAUUUUACUAUAGUUUUCUUGAGUGAUUCAUUUAGUACUCCUACGCAGAAACUGCAACAGGUCGAGAGGAGAAGAAAAAGCAGAAGUAAGAGGAGAAGAAGCUUAAAGAGACGUGUUCCCAGCCCAACAAUAACAAGGUCCUCCGUUUUGAUGCAGAGUCUUCACUCACAAAGAAAUGGUUUGGAACGAUGUUUUCGAAGAAGAAAAUACCUGCAAAGAAACUGCAAAGCUUUUUGUUUCUAAACAAGCCUUUGUAAAAAUUUCAGGAAAGCUUCCUUAAACAUUAAGAAGACCUUCCUAAAUAUUGAGAAAGACAUUGUAGAUGUUUAGAAAUAAUAUUGAAAAGGUUAGAAAAAGUUAUGUAAAACUUCUUAAUUAUUUUUUAAAAAAUUUCCAAAUUC